rnacentral:rRNA from 1 species
GAUGAACGCUGGCGGCGUGCCUAAUACAUGCAAGUCGAGCGAACAGACGAGGAGCUUGCUCCUCUGACGUUAGCGGCGGACGGGUGAGUAACACGUGGAUAACCUACCUAUAAGACUGGGAUAACUUCGGGAAACCGGAGCUAAUACCGGAUAAUAUAUUGAACCGCAUGGUUCAAUAGUGAAAGACGGUUUUGCUGUCACUUAUAGAUGGAUCCGCGCCGCAUUAGCUAGUUGGUAAGGUAACGGCUUACCAAGGCUACGAUGCGUAGCCGACCUGAGAGGGUGAUCGGCCACACUGGAACUGAGACACGGUCCAGACUCCUACGGGAGGCAGCAGUAGGGAAUCUUCCGCAAUGGGCGAAAGCCUGACGGAGCAACGCCGUGUGAGUGAUGAAGGUCUUCGGAUCGUAAAACUCUGUUAUUAGGGAAGAACAAAUGUGUAAGUAACUAUGCACGUCUUGACGGUACCUAAUCAGAAAGCCACGGCUAACUACGUG